GGGCAUAUGGUGUAGGGGUUAUCAGGUUCGCUUUGCAUAAGGUUGUAUUUACGAUCCUUUGUCUGCGAAAGGUCUCCGGUUCAAAUCCGGAUUUGUCCA